CGUAGAGAUUAAAUCUCAUCCGUUGGUUAAGAAUACCGUCUACUCUCAAUCACUUGUUAUUCUCUCAUCCAGGUUGACCCAUCAUCGCCUCCGCCACAAACCCUCCACAAUCACCCCUCUCUCGUUUGUUUCUGAGAGAGACACAAGGGGAAUAUAUACAUAAAAACCUUACUAUCCCAGCUUCAGAGACACACACAUACAUACAUAUAUAUAAACAUUAAUCUAUGGAUUCAGAUCAGGGGAAGCUGUUCAUCGGUGGGAUUUCAUGGGAAACUUCGGAGGAGAAGCUGAAAGAGUAUUUCGGUAAUUAUGGAGAGAUUCUGCAGACGGUCGUAAUGAGAGACAAGAUCUCCGGCAGGCCACGCGGUUUUGGUUUCGUCGUCUUUUCAGAUCCUUCCGUACUCGACACUGUUCUUCAAGAAAAACACACCAUUGAUGGCCGAACGGUGGAGGCUAAGAGGGCCCUAUCAAGAGAGGAACAACAGGUGUCAAAAGCUGGAAACCCGAGUGGUGGUAGAAGUUUUGGUGGUGGUGGUGGUGGUGGUGGUGGGGGAGGUACAAGGACAAAGAAAAUAUUUGUGGGGGGUUUGCCACCCACUUUGAGUGAAGAAGGAUUUCGUCAGUAUUUUGAAGCGUAUGGACAGGUAACUGAUGUAGUAGUAAUGUAUGAUCAGCAGACUAACAGGCCUCGUGGAUUUGGAUUUAUUUCAUUCGAUUCUGAAGAUGCUGUUGAUAGGGUUUUGCACAAGACUUUCCAUGAUUUGAAUGGUAAGCAAGUAGAAGUUAAAAGGGCUCUUCCUAAGGACGCUAACCCUGGUGGUGGUGCUGGUGGUGGUCGGUCUAUGGGCGGUGGUGGUGGUGGAAGUUAUGGUGCAUCUGGUGGAAAUUCAGGUUCUUAUGAGAGUAGAAUGGAUUCUAACAGGUACAUGCAAUCUCAAAGUGGUGGAGGUGGUGGUGGUGGUGGUGGUGGUGGAGGGUUUCCACCAUAUGGGACACCUGGAUAUGGAUAUGGUCCUAGUAAUGGAAUGGGUUACAAUGGGUAUGGCAGCUAUGGUGGUGGGACCCCAGGGUACGGUGGUGCACCAUAUGGAAACCCAAAUGUUGCAGGUGCAGGGUACGGAAGCGCUCCAUCUGGUGCAGCAAGGAGUUCAUGGAAUGCUCAGCCUUCCUCCGGAUAUGGUGGUGCUGGAGCUUACGGGGCUGCCCCAUGGGGUGGUUCUGUUGCUGGAGGUGGUGGUUCACAGGCGGCACCACCACCUACGGGCCAAUCUCCAAGUGGAGGUGCUGGGUAUGGGAGUCAAGGGUAUGGUUAUGGUGGUGGAUAUGGUGGUGGUAGCGACGGUUCUUAUGGGAAUGCUGCUGGAUAUGGUGCUGUUGGCGGCCGUAUCGGUGGUGCUCCGGCUGCCAAUUCUGGUGGUGCUGGUGGAGAAAUUCAGUCCUCUGGUGGUGUUGGUGGCUACAUGGGAAGUGGUGGUUAUGGGGAUGCUAAUGGAUAUGGGAAUUCAGGGUGGAGAGGUGAUCCUUCACAAGCUUCCGCCGGGAACUAUGGUGUUCAGGGGAAUGGCGGGCAAGGUGGUGGUGGUGGGUAUGGUGGUUAUGGUGGUGGUCCGGUGAGGCAGGGUUAGCAAGAGUGAUUUUUGAUCGUUCAAUUAAUAUGAUGUUGCGGAUAGGAUGACUGGUUGGGUUGGGUUGGCUUGGUUGAUUGAUUCUCUCGGUAGCUUGAAGAGGAGAGAUGCAUUGCUGACUCGCACUAUUAAGAUGGAGCUUGAAAGUUGAAACUACUCUUAUGCUGAAGGUCUGUCUGGUCGCUUACUCAUUACAUGGAUGCACUUGUUUUCUUCAUUGGCUUUAUGGACAGAUGGAGGAGCUUGACUUGACUGUGUUGUGGUAUGUCAUAUGUCAAUUUUAAGUGGCUAUGGUUAUACUCUCUAUCCAUUCCCUCAUUUGUAGAUGGAAAUUCUGCCCAUUUGACAUAUAAGUCGAGACUUAUCUAGUAUACUAACCAUUAGGUUCUGUGUUUGGUUUGGUAUGAUGGGAAUUGGAAAAGGAAUAGAAAAAGAAACCAUGUUUGGUUUGCCUCACAUAAUCAAAUGAUCUUGAAGGAA